AUUCUAAAAGGCCAUUCACUUCCAGCUCUCUUCAGACCCAGUGUGACCUCAUCUGGAAUUCAUUCAGACCCAGCGUGACCUCAUCAGGCAAAAGAGAAACUCAAGUGCUGAAAAUGAAUGUUAGCCUACAACUUCCACCCAAAACCACUAACAGUGGAGUCCUGACCAAGAAGAUGAAGCCCUAGAAUUUCAUCUCUCAUAAGAAUUCCUUGAAAUACGUAUCUCAACAAAGAAAACAUUUUCACAUGCAUUGCAUGGAUAAAACAUCAGAGAGAAACAUUUUUCUUUGAACAAAUAAAGAGUUGGGAGAAGCUGGAGUCCCCAUUGAAAAAGGCAAUUCGAGACUUAAGAAGGCUGGACUUGAAACCAAAACCCAAGAACCAGUUGGGUCAAAAAUCAAAUAGUCAUUCGUAACUGUCAAAACUUCAUCUGCAGGUAAUUGACUGUUUGCAGAUAAAGGGGAAUUUAUAA